AGUUCCUUUUUGACGGACGGCCUACGCGCACAGGGCUGGUCGACUACGAGAAGGACAACAAGGCCGCCGCCAAGCCAGCCGCCGGGCAUGCAGCCCCAAGAAGGGCUACAUUGGAAUCCACGGCUCCGGCUUCAGGGACAUUGUGCUCAAGGCCAGCCAGGACUGCGCCUUCGAGCACCCAAAGGACUGAUAAGGUCGUUAAUGCCGCCGCCAAGCUCGCCACUGGGCAUGCAACCCCCAACGAGGGCUACGACGGAAUCCACAACUUAGGCUUCAGGGACUUUUUGCUCAAGCCUGAGCUACUCCGGGCCAUUCAAGACUGCAGCUUCGAGCACCCAUCAGAAGAAGUUAGUUUGAAUGAUUAGCACGUACAACGCUCUGCCAUUAAUUGCCAGCCCUUAGAUUUCAGGUUUCAAUCCACAUGAGCUAGGCCGCUAGGAAUAAUUUGAAAAUGGUAACCCUUAAUCCCACUGCCUACUAUGCUCCAACUAGAGCUACCUUGUGUUC